ACCUGGCUCUGAUACCACUUUAAUCUGUCACGCCCCGGGGUCCCUUUUAGUUUGAAACACAGCGAAAAAGCGUCUAAAUUUUUUUUUUAAAAAUCUGACCCAGGGUAUGCAAGAUCCGCCACAAAUACAGAAAAUUCACUGUUCACACGGACAGAGUCUCUUCUGUAUUUGCAUGGCGUCGCACAAGUACAACGAGUAAACCGAAUACAACCACAACUACAUGAAUAUAGAGAUAACUAUACAUUCAUACAUUCACCAUUCACAUCACAGAUUUACAUUCAAUGUCUAAACAUAAAUCCACAAAAAAUCUUUUGAAAACUGUUCCCUACUCGAAAAUUUUUAUUUUUUAAAAACGCUACCACGAGGGGUAGAAAACCAUUUUCCCUUUUCACAAAAUCCACGAGUUCUAUAGUUCAUUCAAAAACACAUGAAUUCGAAUAACAUAAACCAACUAAACCAUGUAAUAUCAAAGCUAUUAAUAACACAAGUAAACAGGAUAG
rnacentral:lncRNA from 1 species